GAUGAAGAACGCAGCGAAAUGCGAUAAGUAAUGUGAAUUGCAGAAUUCAGUGAAUCAUCGAAUCUUUGAACGCACAUUGCGCCCCCUGGUAUUCCGGGGGGCAUGCCUGUCCGAGCGUCAUUACAACCCUCAAGCUCAGCUUGGUGUUGGGCCCCGCCGCCCCGGCGGGCCCUAAAGUCAGUGGCGGUGCCGUCCGGCUCCGAGCGUAGUAAUUCUUCUCGCUCUGGAGGUCCGGUCGUGUGCUCGCCAGCAACCCCCAAUUUUUUUCAGGUUGACCUCGGAUCAGGUAGAGAUACCCGCUGAACUUAAGCAUAUCAAUAAGCGGAGGA
rnacentral:misc_RNA from 1 species